rnacentral:rRNA from 1 species
UACGUAGGGGGCAAGCGUUGUCCGGAAUUAUUGGGCGUAAAGCGCGUGUAGGCGGCUCGGUAAGUCUGCUGUGAAAGUCCAGGGCUCAACCCUGGAAUGCCGGUGGAUACUGUCGAGCCUCGAGUCCGGAAGAGGCGAGUGGAAUUCCUGGUGUAGCGGUGAAAUGCGCAGAUAUCAGGAGGAACACCAAUGGCGAAGGCAGCUCGCUGGGACGGUACUGACGCUGAGACGCGAAAGCGUGGGGAGCAAACAGG